rnacentral:lncRNA from 1 species
CCUGAAAUCAACCUAUAAUCCCAUCUUUAUAUUUUUCGAGCAGAGCUACUAUACUAUCGAAAGUAUAGAGCAUCUGGUACUUCCGACUUUUUGGCUCUUAGAUCAGCCUCUUUAAUCAUUUUUAAUCUUUAAAUUAAUACACUAUUAUUCUAUGGGGACCACUCAAUUCUAGAGAGGGACCGUAAUUAUUCAAAUCGUACAAUUCUUAAUCCAAAAGUCAAAAAAUCGAAAGUAUCAAAUUCUUUAUGUUUUCGAUAGUAUAGUAGCUCUACACGUAUUUUUCAACCGACCAUAAAAAUUAAAAGUAUUUUUAAAUCCAUACAUUAAUUUACAAAGUGCCUUAUU